ensembl:miRNA mir-47 miscRNA
GAGAGCCGACUGAAACUGAAGAGAGCAGUCUAUUGACAGUCGGUUACUCGAAAUCUUUACUGUCAUGGAGGCGCUCUCUUCAGAUGAUGUCUGGCCC